AUUCAAAGAGGGCAUCCAGGAGUCAAAGAGUUAAAGAGAGCAUCCAGGAGUCAAAGGGGGCAUCCAGGAGUCAAAGAGUCAAAGAGAGCAUCUGGGAGUCAAACAGAGCAUCCAGGAGUCAAAGAGAGCAUCCAAGAGUCAAAGAGUCAACGAUUCAAAGAGAGCAUGCAGGAGUCAAAGAGUCAAACAGAACAUCCAGGAGUCAAAGAGAGCAUCCAGGAGUCAAAGACUCAAAGAGGGACGUUGGACAUUACUUAAUAACGGUAAACGUGAGAAGAAGGCUGGAUCUUCUUUGAGUUGUCGUGUUCCCACUUCAGUUAUCGUGAACUCGUCUCGCACAAUGUGCGGCAGCGACACCAACCUGGCUGAAGCCCCGCCCCCAAACGCCCAGAGGGACGGCGCUCGAGACCUCCGGGCGGCGAGUCUUUGUCGAUGAGUCAGAUACGCCAUCAGGAAGUCUUCGCUUUUACAGAUAUUGACGUUGAACAAGUUCGUGUUUUUCCUCAAAUGUCCAGUAUUCCUGUGGUUCCGCUUCUUUUACUUCAGUAAAACUGCAGCGAUGCUUGAAGUUAUUGUAUCUGCUCGCUUCUGGCGUCACCCAUCGGUUCGUGAACUGAUGUCUUGAAGCCUCGAAUUUGCCAUCUUGGCUUUUUUUGCAACCGGUGGACAGGAAGUGACCAUAUUUGGACGGCAGCAUAGUGAUGUAGUGACGCCGUAUACGUAUCAGGUGAUAGACCUGUUAAUCACCUGGUAGCUCCGCCCCUAAAGCGUCCCCUGCUUCAUGGUCUGACUCUAAAUGACCAUAAAGUGUAAAUGUUGACAUCAUGCUGUCUAGAAGAAGACUUGAAACUAUAGAGACUGAGACAUAAACUCAUGUAUACAAUGUUUACUGAGGGAAUACAUCAAGAGAAGUAGAGUCACUAUAUAGACUUCUAUACAACCAGAGGAGCCCCCUGGUGGUCAGGAGAGAGAAUGCAGCUUUAACACAUGAAGCAUAGACUUCUAUACAACCAGAGGAGUCACCCACUAGAGAGAGAAAGCAGCUUGUAUAGAAGACGAUGCUUCAUGAGUUAACGCUGCAUUCUCUCUCCUGACCACCAGGGGGCGACUCCUCUGGUUGUAUAGAAGCCUAAGCUUCAUGUGGUUGCUUUCAUCUCCAUUUAAAGCAGUCCAACUGCACCGAUGAUCUGUUGUAAGUUCAGAUCGAACUGAUCCAUUCUGUAUUAUUGUAUUGUUUAUAGACACAAAUAAAUACCACUUUUAGGA